CAUUAUGUCGCCGGACAAUUGUAAGAUGCUAUAAAAUAGACUAAAAAUGUAUCGAAAAUAUAGCACAAAAGAAAUCAUGAAAUAACUCGGUGCAAUCCCAAUUUAAGAUGCAAACACAUCAAAAGAAAAACAAAAUCACAUCAUAUCUCCACAUGACACAAAACAAAAACCAACUGCAAUCAACAAAUAAGACGCAAAGAAUAAAAAAAAAUCCAUUCGCGGGCAACUACCGACUUAUUAUACUGUAUGAUCGAACACAAACAUAGAUCCCGCUAACAUGUUUAACCCCGCCACAUUAUUUAUGUAUGUGCCUGUCCCAAGUCAGGAGCCUGUAAUUCAGUGGUUGUUGUUUGUUUAUGUGUUACAUAUUUGUUUUUCGUUCAUUUUUUUUUAUAUAUAAAUAAGGCCGUUAGUUUUCUCGUUUGAAUUGUUUUACUUUGUUAUAUCUGAGCCUUUUAUAGCUGACUAUUCGGUAUGGGCUUUGCUCAUUGUUGAAGGCCGUACGGUGAAUAUGACACCAACGAAAUAAGACGCAAACU
rnacentral:lncRNA from 1 species